rnacentral:rRNA from 1 species
UACGGAGGGUGCAAGCGUUAUCCGGAUUCACUGGGUUUAAAGGGUGCGUAGGUGGCGCGUUAAGUCUGUUGUGAAAUCCCCGGGCUCAACCCGGGAAUUGCUUCGGAUACUGGCGCGCUUGAGGUCGGUAUGGGUUACUGGAACUGACGGUGGAGCGGUGAAAUGCGUAGAUAUCGUCAGGAACGCCAGUGGUGAAGACGGGUAACUGGGCCGGUUCUGACACUGAGGCACGAAAGCGUGGGGAGCGAACGGA